UAACGAUAUUGCAUAAAAACGGAAUACAAGUAAUUAAGAAGAGGGAUUUUAGAAGAGAAAGUUGUCGCAAAAUGAUUUGUAUAUUUACAAAACAUAUUAGUGAAGAACUGCACUAAAAAUAUCCAUAUAUAAACAAAAAACGCUUACCAAUACUACUUAACCACAACAACCCUGUGUUAAAAUUCGCCCUCUCGUUUUUUCCCCGCUUUAUGUGAUAUGUUAUUCGUUCAUUUUCCAACACUGUUCACCAACCAAUCAACGUACACAAAAAUCAGUUGGAAAAAAGAAGUCAAACGAAGUUGACGUUUUUCGUGAGUGUAUGACAAAAGUGAAAAAGUGCAAAAGCAAAAAACAGUAUAAAGAAAAAAUCAAACCAAACAAAAAAUUUGCCAAUUGGAAAAAAAGGUUUAAUAAAACUAAAAUUCUAACAUAAAAUUACUGCCAGUUGAAUAAAAUAAACAAAUACAAUAUAAUUAAACAACAAAAAACAUCAUAAGCUUUUAAAAAAGUGUGAACACGAAACAAGAAAAAAGUACAUAUACAACAAAAGAAGAAAAAAUCAUAGAGAAAUCGUUUUGUGUCUACAUUAGCAAAUUAUUACAAAAAAAGGAGGUAAAUAAAGAAAAAGUUGUUGAAAAAUAAAAAGUCUAGUGUUAUAAAAAGCAUAAUUAUCAAUUAAUAAAAGAUGUUCUAAUUAUUUGUUUCAUAAAAAACAACAAAAUUUUUGAAUACAUAAAAAAACAAGUCCCAAAAAAUCAUUUUCUUUUUUUUACAAGUGUCUCAAACAACACACCUCUUUAUACAAACAACAAACAUACACAAUUUUAUUCCACACUCUCUGCAGCGCUGCUUUAAUCUUCUUGAUUUGUUUUUGCUAAAUAGGAAAAAGUAGCAACAACGAUAAUAAUCAUAGACAUCAGCAAUAAUUUCGUGAACUGCAAAAUAUAACCAUAUAGGAAACGGUCAAAUGGUGUAAGCUUAAAAACUCUUUUACAAUAAAAAAUUAUUUCCUGAAAACAAUACAAACCAACGAAAAACACAGGGGAUCAUGUUAAAUUAUUAUUAAAUUCCAAACCAGGAAAUAAAAACAAUAUUUUUUGGGGGAAAAUAUCUUAAGAAGAAAAUAAAAACAAAUUUGUUUUCUUCAAUAUAAAAAGAAAAGUAAUUCACAAACAGAAAUAUUUUCCCAAAAAUUACAAAAUUUAAAAAUAACUAAUAAAGGAAAUAUAUUGGCAAUGACCCUUACAACUGCCAGC